GUGGGGAAUUUUGGACAAUGGGGGAAACCCUGAUCCAGCGACGCCGCGUGAAGGAUGAAGGCCUUCGGGUUGUAAACUUCUUUUGGAGGGGACGAAUAAAUUGACGGUACCCUCAGAAAAAGCCACGGCUAACUACGUGCCAGCAGCCGCGGUAAUACGUAGGUGGCGAGCGUUACUCGGAAUUACUAGGCGUAACGCGUAUGUAGGCGGUUGUAUAAGUCUAUGGUGAAAUUUCCUGGCUCAACUGGGAAGGGACAUAGAUACUGUAUGGCUUGAGUGUUGGAGGGGGAGACGGAAUUCCUGGUGUAGCGAUGAAAUGCGUAGAUAUCAGGAGGAACACCGAUGGCGAAAGCAGUCUCCUGGCCAAAUACUGACGCUGAGGUACGAAAGCUAGGGUAGCAAACAGGAUUAGAAACCCGUGUAGUCC
rnacentral:rRNA from 1 species